UGUAGGUGUUUCUGAAAUGAAAGGUUGAUCAAGCAGCAUCCAAACACUGUGUUUUGGUGUAAUAUUCCCAGUACUUUUCCAACUCUAUUUCACAACAAACUUUUUAGUUCCCAGGGAUGUUUUGCUCAGUUAAGGCAGAGGCCGGUCUGGGUCAGUGAAAGACAAUAAGCAGAAAAUCCUUCCUAAAAGAGUUAGAGACAAAAGAACAUUUUGAGAAGCAAAUCCUUCUUCCUUGACUGGUGCUGGAGGGAAGCUGUUGAUUAAAUGGUCUUUAGUGAUGCUGGAUGAUGCUCUUCUAUAUUCUACUCCUGGGAACCAGCAUUUAUUAUCUUUCGGAUCUGAGGAGAGGUACAAAAGACCUGUGUUGCUAAUUGGUGUAGCAGCUGGCAUAUAGUUAUUUGUUGCCAGAGACGUGCACUUUGCAUUUAAGGGUUCUAAUGUUUCAAUUUCACUUGUGACGGCGCUGUCUAGAGGCAAAAGCUGUGAUGUUUGUGUUCAAGCCCAGCCUGUUCACAGCACUGAAGAUUCACCUUGUCUGCCACAGUAUAUUUCCCCAUCCUUGGGUAAUAUAAUUACCCUGAAUAAGGAAAGGAAGUGUGAGGAAAUCAUGCUGAGCCUCACAGCAGCUUGGGGGAAUGAUGCUGGAGCAAUCUCAUAACCACUACCAGUGCACUCACCUUAGCUGAUGUCCACUUUAGCAUGACUUUGACAGGAGAAACUCUGGAAAACAGCAUUUUCAGGAGUAAAACAGGAGAUGAAGGCUUGCCAGCGUUUAUCAUCUGACAGUAAGUAAGUAAACAAGUUGGCAGCAACAUCUAAGAUUAUCUCCUCUCUGCUUGGGACUGGGUUAUAUUUCAGCUGAGCCUGUGACGGAAGAGAAGAACUUGUGUUUAUUUUUAUCUUCAGCUUUCACAUUGGUAGUUGUUUUUGUUCCAAGACACUGUGGUGCUUGGAGCUGGACUGGGCUAGAAGGUGUUGGGGUCCAACAAAGGACUUCUAGGGAGUCACAUUGCCGUGAGGCCACACAGACACCAUUCCACAGUGUAACAGCAUCACCUCCAAGGCAGGUUAGACAUGCCCUCUUCCAGAGCAUGUGGUUUGAUCCUGUCACCAUUUGCCUUCCUUGGAAGAAUUUCUUCUAAACUGCCUUUUAUCUACUUUUCUCCUUCUAAAUCUCCAUUGCAAUUGUUCAUAGUUGGCUGUGAUUAGUUUGUCUUUCUACGGCUUUCCUGCACUGAAUAACCACCAUUUUAUUUUAAUUAUUGGAACACAAUAAGAAAAAGAAUUUGGGAGAAAAGGAAUAAGCUGUGAGACUAUCUAUUUGUAGCAUUGGUUUCCUGUGUCUACCAACAAGUUUUUCACUUGCCUAGAUAAAGUGAACUCAUCACCACAGCUUGGAAUGGAGAGCUGAAAGUGUCCCAGAAAAAGGAAGAAACAGGCUCAGUGAAUGGAAUGACUUCUCUGUGAGAAAAAGCAAAAUAUACUGGGUAUUUUCAUCUUGGUGAAGAGAUGAAGCCUGAUAACAUCAUGAAUGGAUGAAACCCCAGAAGUUACUAUGUCACCAGGAGCAGGAGAAGGCCACUCAGUGCCUGUAUUACUUCUCAUACGCUUCACUUGAGUGUUUCCUUCUGACCACACUCAGGAUAUAGAGUCAGGCUUUUCCACAUCUUCCAUCACUGUCUGACAUGGGAGACCUAAACUUAUCAGUGUCUGUCCCUCACAGCUCUUCAAAAUGUCAGAGAAACAGCCAAAUCCAUAUUUACAAGGGGAUCACUGUCCUAGGAAGGGUCUACUGGGAUGGGAAAGGCCCUGAGGGACUGACAACCGCCUUCUUCCUCCCCAUGCUCUGUGGUGUCCUGGAGAAUUGGCCAUGCAGCACCUUGCCAUGCCAGCCCUUCUCCUGCCAGAUCUCCCAGAACCUGCCGCCUCUGGGAGUUCAUCCAGUCCUUAUGACUAAGGCACAGUGAGAGAGGAAAAAAACCCCUCAGUGCAGCAAAGCCCUCAAGUCCUUAGUCAACAUCGAAGUGAAGCCUACGUGGUUUGGUCAAAAUCCAGCAGCACAUCUGUGGAAGAGGUGGGAGCUGGAUCCAACUCUCUUCUGACUUGGAUAGUAACCUGUAAUUACAGUUGUCAGACUGUAAGACACCUAAUAUAUCCUUCUUCAAUAUUCUUUUUUC